UACGGAGUUAGCCGGAGCUUAUUCUCCAGGUACUGUCAUUAUCAUCCCUGGUAAAAGAGCUUUACAACCCUAAGGCCUUCAUCACUCACGCGGCAUUGCUGGAUCAGGGUUUCCCCCAUUGUCCAAUAUUCCCCACUGCUGCCUCCCGUAGGAGUCUGGGCCGUGUCUCAGUCCCAGUGUGGCUGAUCAUCCUCUCAGACCAGCUAAGGAUCGUCGGCUUGGUAGGCCAUUACCCCACCAACUACCUAAUCCUACGCGGGCUCAUCCCUUGCCGAUAAAUCUUUGGUCCGAAGACAUCAUCCGGUAUUAGCAGCAAUUUCUCACUGUUAUUCCGAAGCAAGGGGCAGAUUCCCACGCGUUACGCACCCGUGCGCCACUAGAUCCGAAGAUCUCGUUCGACUUGCAUGUGUUAGGCAUGCCGCCAGCGUCGUUCUGAGCCAGGAUCAAACUC
rnacentral:rRNA from 1 species